GGCGCAAGCGAAGCAGGUGAGCGACGAGGACGAACACCUUGCCAAGGCGAGGGCGCAGGUCUGUGUGGAGAUGGCCGAGAAGUAGGGUGGGAUCGCCGCACUGAAGAUGGAGUGCACCACGCUGAAGCAGGGGAGUGCCCGAAAUUGUUUGUUCUAACUCCCGCAGGGUUUGCUAUCCUGGAAAUAUGUGCACCUAAAUCGUAAGGAAUUUGAUGACCUUACUUCCAAGGAACAUGUAGCUGCAUUCUCUGUGAAUAUGCUGCUCUUGUCCUUCGAUUUAAGAGAGGAUCGUGGGUUGCUUAGCAUGCUUCAUUUGCAUCCAUCACCUACGGUAGUUAAUUGUUGCUUUAGGCCUAAAUCAUACACAUUAUAGAGUUACCUGACCUUUUUAUUUGUGUAUUAUUAGAGUACUGUCUAUUGACUUCGAUAGCACUUUGUAUCUCACCAUCAUAUUUAGAACAUAAGUGAUGAUAGCAAUAGCACUAUUUUAUAUUUCAAAUCUCAGCCAAAGCGAGCUGGAGAGGAUCACCGGUUACUUCAUCCUCUUAUGCUUGGUAGGCUCCAGCGAGCUAAGUAAGGUUGUAUAAGGCUUAAUGCUUAAUUUUUAAUAUGGCCGUCCUUUUGAACAAACAAAGAUAGCUUGGCUCCUUUCAUUAGUAGACAAAUAUUGGCUCUGAUGCACAACUAGACUGGACUGGUGUUUGGUAAAUAUGUUUCCUAAAAAUGUGUUUGCUAAAUAUGUUUCCUAAGCUUGAUUGGAGAUUGGGUUUCCCUAAUUCUAGGCGACUGAUUUGAUUUUGGAAUCUCUAUUUUCAUGCUGGUGCUAUUACUACUGUGAUUAAUAUGUAUCUCUUGUUCUGUGAUAAGCUGCACAUUUGUUACUCAAACAAUUUCUCAAGUCAGUUCCAACUUUCUAACGUUAAUCUGCAUACUCUUACUUGGUCUUGCAGGUCACGAAAGACCCAGUUGGCUCAUACUCUUUGUGUCUGCACUCAGAGCCUUACAUGGACCAAGGGCAUGUCUGAAGCAAAGGUUGAUAAGAUCUGUCAGGCUGCUGAAAAACUUCUGAGUCAGGGUUUCAUGACAGGAAGCGAUCUCCUUAUCAAGGUAAGGAAUUAGGAGCUAAGGUACUGAUUACAGAUGAGCAUAUAGGGCCUUAGUGCUAUUGUGUGAAUAGUACUGCUAUGCUAAAUGGCUAUAAAUAAUACUCUGUAGCUUGUUUCAGGAAUAAGCUUGAGUGCUUUUAUUCUUAUUCAUGAAUAGUACUGCUAUCCUAAACUGACUAUAAAUAACACCCCGUAGCUUGUUUCAGGAAUAAGCUUGA